rnacentral:rRNA from 1 species
AACGAACGCUGGCGGCAGGCUUAACACAUGCAAGUCGAGCGCCCCGCAAGGGGAGCGGCAGACGGGUGAGUAACGCGUGGGAACGUACCUUUUGGUUCGGAACAACUCCGGGAAACUGGAGCUAAUACCGGAUAAGCCCUAACGGGGAAAGAUUUAUCGCCGAAAGAUCGGCCCGCGUCUGAUUAGCUAGUUGGUGAGGUAACGGCUCACCAAGGCGACGAUCAGUAGCUGGUCUGAGAGGAUGAUCAGCCACACUGGGGCUGAGACACGGCCCAGACUCCUACGGGAAGCAGCAGUGGGGAAUAUUGGACAAUGGGCGCAAGCCUGAUCCAGCCAUGCCGCGUGAGUGAUGAAGGCCUUAGGGUUGUAAAGCUCUUUUGUCCGGGAAGAUAAUGACUGUACCGGAAGAAUAAGCCCCGGCUAACUUCGUG